rnacentral:rRNA from 1 species
AACGCAGGGGGCUAGCGUUGUUCGGAAUUACUGGGCGUAAAGCGCGUGUAGGCGGGCCGUUAAGUUGGGGGUGAAAGCCCAGAGCUCAACUCUGGAAUUGCCUUCGAUACUGGCGGCCUGGAGCAUGAUAGAGGCGAGUGGAAUUGCGAGUGUAGAGGUGAAAUUCGUAGAUAUUCGCAGGAACACCAGUGGCGAAGGCGACUCGCUGGAUCAUUGCUGACGCUGAGACGCGAAAGCGUGGGGAGCAAACAGG